CGGCUAGACAGUUCUGACUCGGUUCCACAUGUACACUUGUUGUAACUGUAAGUACACGUAGAGUUUAAAUUGUUUACCCAGUUAUCAAAAGUAUUAAAUGUCAAGGAUUCUGUACGUUAAGAUACAAACUUUGUAUAUUCUAUUGAGUUUUAUAGGUGAAAAUCCACUAAACAUGAGAAAAACGCAUGACCUUGACCUAUAUAAAUACGCCGCAUAUUUAAUGUAGAUAGCAUGACCCAGUGAGGACAACCGAAUGUUUUGUGAUUUAUUUAGUUUUAACAUUCAUGGAACAUUUUCAACACAAUACAUUAUUAUUUUUUUCUUAACCAAGGAUUCGUAUAGAAAGCCUGGUGUAUUCGUACUCUGAGUCAGCCGACUUUCUUCUUCCCAGUUAGAGUGGGGGGCCCAUAUUCGCCGGCAUAGGCGGAUUAGGGGGCCCCGGGGCCCGGGCCCCCCUUUUGGGAAAAAAAUUUGUUGCUUAUAUAGGGAAAUCACUGAAGCGUUGACUGGAGCGGGCCCCUCUUAGGUCAUCAGUUGGCCCCCACUUAUGAAAAUUUCUGAUCCGCCACUGGCGGGACACAAUUCGCCGUUUUAUGAUUUUAGUGUAAACUUCAAAGAUGGUUGAAAUGAAGGAAUAUGCCAGUAAAUAUAAUUUAUAACAAAUAUGAUUAUUUUUAAACUUAAACAAAAUUACGGUCACUUACUGCAAAAGAUCUCUAAAACGGACAACGAUUUUCGGUAAUUUCCUAAAUAAACAGGAUUUUUAUAGAUUUUUUUGUUAGCAAUUUUUUUGACUUGGCCUAAUUUCUUUUUACACCUUUAAAUGUCUGCUGUUCAUCUAUGAUGAAAUUAUUGAUAAAUAUUAUAAACUGAGUUAUUUGGUUUUAAAUAGAUGUUAAAAACGGCGAAUAUGGUUCCCCAUGACAAAACUUCAGGGAAAUUUCAAACACCUUUUAAUCUAACUUUACAGAUGAUUAUUUUCAACAAAACAUGUUUUCAAGCUUAGGAAGUUUGCAUUUGAAGUUAUCUUCAUAUAGAAAUAUCAGUAUACUUCAAAAACAUAUAGACCUGAACAUAAACUGUAGAAAACUGUAGAAAGAUAUGGCGAAAAUGAGCACCCCACUCUACCAGUCGAACUCUUAUUAACCAUCUCUGUGCCAUGGGCCACUUUUGGGCCAUUUUUUUCAUACUACGUUCGGUGCCAAUGGGCCACUUUUUGGCCAUUGUUUUUUUUUUUACUCUGAUGCUAUGAAAUGUACUAUGACGUAACGUCAUUGUCCGUGCGCCUUUGAAAUGCACAAAGCACGCCAAAUUAUUGGAAUAUUGUUAUUUCUUGAAAAGUUGCGUAUGUUAAAUACACAACUGAAAAAUAGUUUAUUAAUAAGAUAAUAUAUUUUUCUAAUAAAUCAAAUUGUGCUUUAUGUCUUUUAUACAUAUCUUUUUUAUUCUCUCAACCUUUAGUUUAGCUAUCAUAAUCUAUUUCGCUUUCAUUAUUGUAUAUCUUUUAUUUUCUUUGCAAGCUGAGGACAUUAUAACUUAUCUACGUGCAUAUCCGUAGACAUGGAUAUUUUAACACCCUGAAUUAUCAGGAACACCCUGAGGUAUCAAUCUAAAUCUGGCGAUUUUUAUAGAAGUUCGUCCACAAAGUUUAAAGUGAAAGCAACAGGUUUUUUUUUUUCCUUUUUUAUAUAUCUUUUAUUGAAAUUUGACUUAUUUUUAACGGGAUGUAGGUUUCACUAAGCCGGGGAUAAAAAUUUUUGACAGUAUACCCUUGAAUUUCACAUGGCACCUUUUCAACUGAUUUUUAAUAAAAAAAAAAAAAAAUCUUUAAAAAAUAGACUGGAACAUGUUUUAGGUAGAGGUAGGUUAAAUGCAUAUUUAUGACGAGGAGAUGGUAUAUGAGAUUUGAGUAUUUACCAAGCUUUGUAAUAAACUGACUCGCUGGGUCGGUUUAUUUUACUUGCUAGUUCAAAAAAUAAGUAUAAAACUCUGUUGUAAAACAAGUUACCCUACACAAACACAUAAUUUUUACUUCUUUAUUUCUAAACAGCGCGUGCUUACAGAAAAGCAGCAAGUAUACCAAUUUUAAAGUUUUUAAGUUUUGACCAGGCGAAAAGCUUGAAUCCAUGACCUCGUUUUGAAGAAUCAGUGCCAUAACUUUUAGAAUUUAUCUUAGUAAAUCUUCAAUUUUAUUUAUAUAAGAGAUACAUGCAACGGCGGGCACCUGUGGAGCAGUAUCGACUUCCCUUUCUGUUUCGGUAAAGGGUUUUUGUUAGUCAGUCUUCAGUUUUUGAAUUGUUUUUGAAGACUUGUUCUUUGUCUUUUUGUCGUUUUAUUAAAAUUUCAUUACUCGGAGUUUAUUUCCGUUGUCUAGGACAGCCUUUUUGUUGGGCUUAAAUGAAGAACGAUUUUCUUCGUGCUCUUUCGCAAAAUGAAAACAUUAUAGAAUGUGUCCCUUGAGAGCGUAUAAAAUGUAUAUCCACGUGAACUUGAUAUGGUAUGUUUUAUCAUGUUCGGCAUGUUCCUGUUUUGGCGAAAAGUUCCUGUAAAAUUUGCGCCGAGUUGUAAAAGAUGUUUAGCAAGCGAUGUAGAAGUAAAGACGUUGUGACAUACAACAUUGGUAUUUUUUACGAAGUAAUAUGAAUAAGAAGAUGUGGUAUGAGUGUCAAUGAGACAUUAAUUCUCCAUCAAUUCAAAAUGUAUAAAAAAUUUAAAAAUUAAAGAUCAUAGUACACAGAACAAAACGGUACAGCGCUCCCGAAAUAACUCGUGUAAAAUAAUUCAAGCAGGAAAACCAACGGUCUAAUCUUAAGGAAUUAAAAAAAAUCGAGAGAAACAUCUAACCACAUCAACAAACAACAACCACUGAACAACAACCCUUGGGUUGACAUGGUGGUAUUGGAUUGACUGCACGCCUUUACUGUCUAUAUACUAUAUAUGUACAUGUACAAAAAAGUAUAUAUACUAUAGUGAGCAUGAUAUAUCCUGACACUGAUUCUACCAGCAUCCAAACUUUUACCUCGAAAUAAAACUUUUGAUGGAAUGCAUUGCAGCAUGCAUGUUUGACUGCGAGUUCUUACUAAUUGACGUUUGAAUAAAUCCGAAAUUUUGCUGUCGGAAUAGAGUUUUGAUUGUUUCUACCGGGAAGGUUAUCAUUGUUAGUUAGGUGAGAAUUAAAAAUUAGUUGAGAUAUUUUGCGACUAAACAUUCAAGUUCUUAAAACAUUUGGUUUCUGGGCUUAGCAAUGUAAUGUUCCACUAUUCAGAUAUCGACGCUAUGAGUAUGUAUCGUACAAGGAAAGGAGAAUUAAUGUUCUUUCAAAGUAGAAUUGUUCACUGUGAAAAAUUUAAAAUGUAUACGAACUGCCUCGAGAUUUACUGACGAUCACAUUUUGCAAGAACCGCAAAAGUGGAUUUUUCAUCGUCAUUUGCAUUCAUUUCGUAUAAUUAUAUACAAACCACAACUCUUCAGCCUUUAAGUUACAAAUCUUCGAAAAUUGACACAAAAGUUGUAUGAAAUAAACAUUGUGAAUGCAAAAGUAGAAACAAGACAAGCAAAACGUUCGUGGUAGAAAUGACCAAGUACCUGAAUCAAAAUUAUAAGAUAUUAUCUACGUGAAUAUCAUCGGAUUAUAAUUUAUUCAUGUAAUUUUUACAUGUUCUAUCAAUAACUGUUGUUCUUAACGCCUUUAGUUGCAAAAUAAAUCACAGAUCACAUGAUGUAUACGGAAAAACUGUCUGCGAAUAAUAACUACAAGGAAGACGAUAUAAUUCAAUUGCAGUACAUGUACAUGUAUAUCAUUGAAAUAUUGACAAAAUAAAAGAUUUUCGUAAAAAGUAUAUGUAUGAACUUUUAUACGUUUUUUAUUUGAAAAAUCAGCUAUUAAGUUAAAAAAAAAACAUGUUUUCAUUUUUUGUUCAAUUUGAAGUUUUAUAACACUUUAAAAAUCUUUAUUAAAGAAGAAUGUAUGUAAAUAUGGUAAAAACUGUGCUUAUUCGCGAAAAAAAUCAAUAUUUGGACUUUUCCGUAAAUUUUUAUUUUCCCCGCGUUUUUCCGCUAACACUUUCUUGCAGUUCGCCUACACUAUGACGUUAGGGCAUAGUAACGUCAUAAUACAGAGCCAGUCUGGGUGGAAAAACAUACCUUGGCACUGAACGUCUAUUUUUACGAUUUCGCCGUGGCAUUGAAAGGCAAUGAAGGGUUAAGUAAGUUUUUUUUUUUUUUUUUUAUUUUGAUUCAAGAGUUAAGCCUGCCAAUUAAUAUUUUAUUGUAUGUUUUCUAUGUUGUGAUGUUAUGCUAUUGUUUCAGAAAAAGGGAGAAGGUUUGGAUCUAUUAAAACGUUUAAUCCCGCUGCAAAUGUUUAUGUAAUUCAUACAUGUUUCUCGUUUUUUAAAAAAAUUUUAUAUAGAUUAGACCGUUGGUUUUCCCAUUUGAAUGGUUUUACACUAGGGGAAUUUUAGGCCCUUUAUAGUUUGUUGUUCGGUGUCAGCCAAGGCUCUGUGUUGAAGGCUGUACAUUGACCUAUAAUGGUUUACUUUUUUAAAAUUGUUAUUUGGAUGGAGAGUUUUCUCAUUGGCACUCACACCACAUCUUCCUAUAUCUAAGUAAGUAAAUUUUAUUUAGAGUCGGCAUAUAUAUACAAAAUAACAGUCAAAACAUGAGCUCUGGUGAGCUCUUUAACCUACUAUCACAUUAAAAAUCAUGCAGCAUCAUGCAAGUUCUACCAAAUUAAAAUGAAAGCAAAUCUAUUUGAUUUGUGAGCCUCCAGAGUCAAAGUUCAUGUGGCAAGCACCUCUUUGUGCAUUGAAACGGGGGAAUCAGCAAAUCACUUGAAGAUCAUAAAAUAUAACAGACUAAAAGCAUGAAAACAAUAAAUAAAUAAAUAUAAGCACUAGCAUUUAAUGGCAGAUAUAUUCAAUAAAUGCAUAAAGAGGCCAUUAUAAAAAGAAAGAAAGAAAUUUCAGCUUUGAGACAGCACUUGGUGGAAACGACAUGAACUGUAGUAACAUUUUUGACCCCCACACCAGGAAUUUAUAUAAUUCCUAAACUGGUCAAAAGAAGUCAUGAGUCUAGCCUCAUUAGGAAGUGAGUUCCAGACUUGUGCUGCCUCACAUCUAAAGGAUCUUUUACCAUAACUUGAGGUUCUAGGUCUAGGUACCUCAGCAGUGCUUAACAUACCUGAAAUUAUAUGAAUUGUUUUUUAUUACAACUAAAUCUUGAAUAAAUAAAAGACAUUUUUAUUGAUUAUUUUAAAGGUCUCCAAGGCAAUUGAGGGCAUUCUACGAGUUUUUAAUGAUGGAAGAGUUGAAAUCUGCAGGAGUGUUUCGUAUGAGCUCUGAUGGUCUUCAUAAAUAAAUCGAAGUGCUCGUUCUUGUAUUUUUUCUAUUUUCCUGGUAUUUUGUUCCCCACAGAAAAUGAGAAAUGCCAAGUCAAAG
rnacentral:lncRNA from 1 species